UACGUAGGGCGCAAGCGUUAUCCGGAAUUAUUGGGCGUAAAGAGCUCGUAGGCGGUUUGUCGCGUCUGCCGUGAAAGUCCGGGGCUCAACCCAGGAACUGCGUCCGAUACUGGUUGGCUUGAAUCCGGGAGAGGGAUGUGGAAUUCCAGGUGUAGCGGUGAAAUGCGUAGAUAUCUGGAGGAACACCGGUGGCGAAGGCGACAUCCUGGACCGGUAUUGACGCUGAGGCGCGAAAGCCAGGGGAGCAAACGGG
rnacentral:rRNA from 1 species